CAGUUCCAUCUAACUUCAGAACAUGUACUAGUAACCAUUCUGAUUCAUCAGUAGAAGAGAUGGGUGCUGAGGAGUAGGGUGGCCCACUCAGAACCCAGGAAUCCUUGAGACGUAGACACUUGCAGGAUCUCCAGAAGGCCGGCUUUGCUGCGCUGUGUCCUCACACAGGAUGUCAGCAGGGCCAACAUGAAUAACCAUAGUAGGAAGUGGGAAAUUAACUGUACAUUUUCUUCCAAGGCCCAAAAUCAGCAGUGGACUUUAUUGACUCUUGGACCUUAUCUCAUUGAAGCAGAGAUGUUUACUCAUGUGCCCAGAACCUGACACCCAAGAACCCGUUUCGUGCACCAGUCUGCCUUCGAGCCCCCCUGAAGUGGAUGCAAUGGGAUGGACCAAAGACAGCACUAAGAGGACCUGGAAAGCAGGAUAGUAGUGUCACAGCUCAUGAGGACCACAGCACUGCCUUGUAUAAUGUCUGCAAGGGUGACUGGACAGAGUUCUCAUCUACGCUUCACUUUUGAAUCAUCUUACCUCAGAGAACUUCCUGAGCCAUAGAGGAGGUGAUGCCACAGACCCUUGGGCUCACCAGCUGGGUUGUAAGAAGCAG